UGGUGAAGUGAUUUGUCUGGUUAAUUCUGAUAACGAACGAGAUCUUCACUCCUAAUUUUCUAUUUGACUUCCAGGGGGACAACACAUAUCUAAAUGGAUCUAAGCGCGAGGCUACAGCA
rnacentral:rRNA from 1 species